UUUUUUUUUUAGAAGAAGAAAAAGAAGUGACUGUGACAUUUGUUAGCAAUCACAAGGAGUUCCAGUACGAAAAUGAUUGCUUCUGCCCACAGCAGUCAGAUAUGUGGAAGAUGCACAGGUGCUUCUGACUAUUUUUAUUCCUUCAAGGUUUUUCCAUCCAAACACAGACAAAGCCCAGCUCUGCUUUGCUUAUGAGCUGUGACAACACAAUAGCCCAUGGCAGUGUGGCUAUGAACUACUGAUAUUUCUGUUGUUCUGUGCUCACUGGAGCCUUGAGAAGAAAAACAAUCUAAGCAAGACUCAAGCUCAAGUGUCUUGCAUAAGUACCAAGAAGCCCUCCCCAAGGGCUCACAGACAACUUUAUCUUUCAAAACGAGGUUUAGGCAGCUCAAACAUAGGAAGAAAUUCAGUUGUGCACUGCAGCUUGUGUAGGUUUUUUUAGUCUGUUCACAGAGUCACCAUAACAGCCCCUAGAGAAUUUUCUGGUUAACUGGGGAGGGAUCUCCUGGUGGGUGCAGAAAUGACAAGGCCAGCUCAAUGCCACCUUCCCCACCAGAGCCCCUGGAAGGCAUCCAGGGAGUUUUGGUAGUGAAGUGGUGAUAACAGAGGAACUUCCCGUGCCUUAGAGGAGGCUGGUGCAACUCAGAGCAGCCGUUGCAGCUUCUCUAAUCGCUCAGAUUGAGGUUGAAGUGGUUCCUGGUGAGCCUGGCACACUUGAAAGUGAAAGCCUCUUCUUUACUUUGACUGCAAUCUCAGUGCCCUUCAAAGACCAAGAGGCACUUGAUGCAGUCUGGACCAGAGACUGCUGAGUUACAAGCUACAGAACCCGCCUUACCCUACCCGAUAGGAUUUUAUUUUCACUCUUGUCACUCUUUGAAUGACAAUUUUAGUGCCUAUAAGGAUGGAUGUCUUAGGGUUCACUUGUGCACCUUUAUUACUACUAUCCAAAUUCACAUAAUGUGUAAUAUAUCAAAAGGGGUUCUCAUUGAGUAUUCAUACCUAUGGUUCUGCUCACUUUAAAUCACUUGGACACAACAGCUCGAGAUGUGUUGGUGACCCCUGAGUAAAAAUCACUGGAGAAAAAUCCCAGUCUACACUUUGCUAAUGCUGCUCAAUGAUUGUUCAAAGAUAUCAAGACUUCCCAGCAUGAACUGUCCGGGGAAUUGUGAGUAAGUGUUGUGGUCUCCUUACGAGACACAUUUCUUUCAUGCCAAACAUGCUUACCCCGAGCUCAUAAUAAAGAAUAAUGCUUCAAAACCCAGCUGUGUUUCUGAAGGGUGUUAGUGGAAACUUGUUCUGCAAUUAAGCAUUUCAUACUGUAGCAGUUCUUGAGACAUGUUAAGCAAAUACUCUCCCUCACACACAUCCUUCCCUUUACUAAACUUUUGUGUCACUCCUCUAAUAGUCUGCAUAUACACUUUCUUUCCCACUUUCCCAGUGGCUGAUAACAGAAACUUGUUCCAGUAUAUGAUGCCUUAGUCACUUUUCUUGACCUUCAUUGCUGCUCUAAGUUCCCACUCACGCUUACGUUAGAGAACUUCCUGAGCACAAUAGUGUUUGCAAAUGACUAAUUAGGGCAAAUGCACAAGCUGGUGAGUCAGGGAACGGCUCGGGAGGACAGCGGCAGCGACUGGGCAGCAGAACAAGUCCGGGUGAAGAUGUGAGAAGUGCUCCUGCCCGUGCCUUCGGAUCUGUUUGACACAUUUGUUUGUGUCACCGUGAUGGGCUCUGGAGGCAUUUACUCUCAGGAUCCAAGUGCAUCCCUGCUGGGGAAGAUGAAAGUCCAGCGUCCUCGCACAUCCCCAUCAAUAACGACUGGCAGAUCUUCUGCCUUCGGUGGGAAGAAAUCAGGGAUUUAAUUAAGGCAUCUUACCUCCCAAAACCGCUCAUCAUUUCUGAGCAGGGACUCACUGGGGCAGGCAGAGGGUGUUAAAGAGAAGCUCCAUUUAUCUCUCUGGAGCUGGCAGCUCACACCACAGGGGAUGUCACAAAUAACCUGCCCUCAGCACUGGCUUUCCUGGGCUUUUGCUUCAUUGUAGAGCCCCCUAUGCUGCCUUGAGAGGCUACCUAGAACAAAAGCUAGGCAGUGUUAAAGGAAUAAAGUACAUAUUUAUUUUAAAAGUCUUCAAAGUAUACACCUUGGGCAGCACAAGAGCCUGGCCAAAACUACACCCAAGAUGGAUGAUGGGUCAUGAAUUUUCACACUUUUAUAAGUUUUGGUCCAUUUCCAUAUUGGGAACGGUUUUCAAUUGCAGCUUCAGGUUAUUAAGUCCCAUCCUCCUGUUGUUUAUGCUUUUUGGGGCUGAAGCUGUAACAGUGUCCUUGGUUCUUGGGCUGGAAAAGGAUUGUUUUUUCUAAUUAAACUGUGAAGAGAACUUGCUAACAAUUUUUAUGAAGUUCAGAGGUAUAUACUAAUGCAGUACAGAAUCUGAAAAAUAUGAAAACUAAAACUUAAGGCAUCACCUACAUGUAGGGAAUUACACUCACUGGUUCAGUAAUUGAGCUAUAAUGAAGGGAAUAUUCUAGCCUAUCCAUAUUUGACAAAAAAACCUGUCUUGCUCACAGCACCACUGCGAAGUAUUGAGUUGACAGAGGAAUUCCACGAGGUCUCAAAUGCUGUGCAGACCCAGGGCUCUGUAACACAGGUAAUAGUUGUUACUACAACUUACUGUGCUUAACAGUGCAAGAACCUGAGAGCUCUGAUGGUCAACUCAUUCUACAAUAGAAAAAUGAACUGAAAUUUGAAUCUAAUUCAAAGCAAACCAUUGGCAUUGGAAGCCUAAUGCUGCUCUUUCUCAAAUAUGAAAUAUUCUCUGAAAUGAGAGUACGUGAUGGGAGACACAAUCUCGCUUUGGCAACUGUUGUUUCCUUCUGUCUUUUCUAACCUCAGUGCUUCUUCUUUCCUUCUUGUGCCAAGAUCUUGUUUAUUUUUCCUUUUGCAUCUGCACAAUCCCUAUUUUUUGAACUAUGACCACCUCUUACAGUCUGCUUGGGUCACUGUACACUUAGGCAUUUGGAAAUACCCUCUGGACUGCUGUUUCUACACAGGUACCCCAAUAUGAUAACAAAUUCUUCAGUGUAAUAAAAGCACUAUGUCCAAUUCAGUGCAAUUAGAUUUGGGGAAGGAUUUUCUACCCAUGAAAGGAGUUUAACAGAUGAAAGCAUAAGGCAAGCAGACACUCAGCAGGGUACACUGUACAAUUUCACCAGUUGGCUCCAUCCUGCCUAUCCCAGGUCCCUCCUGAGCAGAUACUGCCAAUUGUACAGUGGUUUUCCUGAUGUGGACAAAAAAAAAAGCAUGGAAUUUUAAAAUUGUCCUUACAGAAAAGAUGGGUUUGUGGUCCAAGCCCUGAACAAAGGCUCUGGGGGCCGAGGUUUGGUUCCAGGCUUCCUGUAGGACUCUGCACAACUCACUUACAGAAAGGCUUUCUAUUUUCAGUGCUGCAAUCCUUUGCCACAGUGCUGAGUGGAGGAAUCCACUGCAUGCCAUGCAUUAAGUCCACUUCCCCAUGCAGCAAACUGGCAGUUCUGGAACCCUCAGGAACCAGCUGAGGAGGGAGCAAGAGACAACCACAAUGUAAAUAUGGAGGGAAAAAAGCCUUGUCUAAGCCAGGUCCAGGUUUUGGCUUUCAAGAUAUGUCUGUGCUCAGGAUCCCCAGCUGGUAACUCCACCCUGCAGCAAAGCACAGCAAUGGGACUGGGAAAGAGCAGACAAAGUCUGGGGCAUAAAGUGCUCUCUUGGAGGUCAGAGAUGCUUCUUCAGCCUCUGUCCUGUCCAGCUCAGAGCAUGGUUUGGUAACAAUCUGGUCAAAGCUUCCCUUUGUAUCUCCUCUGGGAGCUGUUUCAGUUUAGCCCCUUAACUGCAGUUUCCAGAGGAACAUUGGGGACAUGAAGGAACUGGGUUUAAAUCCUCUCACCACACCAGGCAAAAGAGAUUUGAGCAGAGUUCUCCCUACUCAAAGUGCUUGAACAGUGGGCUUGGUGUUCCUUGGCAUGAUCCUGAGUGCUCCUGAGCUCACCACGUGCUGCUUUCAUGGCCACCAGUCUCACUGUGGGAGAUGGAGACACAAACACCUCCUUUUCCUCCUCUGCUCUGCUCACACAUCCAAGCACAGCUUUCUUGAGAGGCUGUGGUGGCCAGGGCAGCACAGUCUGUCAUCACACUGGGAAGCAGGACACCGGCUGGUUCUCCUUGUGACCAACAAAGUGGUUUUAACCCACAUCUCUGGAGCCAGCAGGACACUCCCCAUUUGCCAACCAGCUCGUAACACCUCAGACCUACCAGGCUAGUUUUACUUUCUUCUCUGCACUUCUUCCCUUUUGAAGGCACUAUAAACACAAGUGAAGCUCUUUGAGGACAGGGAAGGGAAGCCAGAUGAGCAGCCAGCAGCAGCAGCGUGGAUGGGGAGACAGUCUUUGCAUAAGUUAUAACCCAGAGCAGAGGGAAUGUGCCUUUCUCAGAAGGAGUGCUUUCAAUUUAAUGCAGAUUUCUGACUCCUACAGCUAGUUAUGAUCCACAGGAGCAUUCAGAAAGAGGCUUCUUUUUCCUUCUUUUGAUCCUUUUCAUCCCUCCUACGAAGCCCUUUGUUAUUUUACAGCCUAGACCACAAGUUUCUCACACAGAGCAAGAAAGAGUCCAAAAUAAAUUGAAAGACGAAAUUAAAUGGGCUGCACUUGUAACGAAAAUGUAAAGGUGACCAAACUCUUUUACCUGAUCCAACAUAAAGAAGUUUCAAAUUCUGAUUCGGGAUUUUUCUUGGUUUGAUAUUAAAACACACUUUCUUUCCAAUUAUACAGUUUCUUAAGUGUUUUUGCCUAACAUUUCCCCAACUUGGAUCUAGCUAAAAGACAAAGGGCUUGAGGUUUUAUUUGUUUGUUUGUUUGUUUUCCCAGCAACACAUUAGAAAAUGCAGUGCACGCUUUAAUGACUACGUCUGUUUUAACAUGCCUUUUGGAGGACUGUAAGCAUUUAUGGGGGAAUGAGGUAAUUAACAUAUUACUUGGGCAUGCAAAGACAAGUUCGAAGCAGCUGUCUUUAUUCUCUUGAUAUGGCAACACAAUUGUUAAAACAAUGCCUUCUUACAUCUUUCUUUUUUUCUCUCUGUGUUCACAGACCACUCAAGUUGCUUGUUUAAACCAAAGCUUUAAGAGCUUGCCAGAUUUUCAGGACCAGUAAUUUUUCUCUCAAACACACUGUUCCCUCUUACUUAUUUGAAGUAGCAAAAUAAAAAUCAAUAUCUCAAUCCCUUUAAGGAAAUGUUGAACUCAAGAGCUCCCAAGUUCUCAUUUCAACCUCUAAAUAAAUGACUUCUACAGUACAUUCAUUUUUCUUCCAGACUUUCCAGAUUUUCCACCUAUUGAUCUUGAACCUCCAUGGUUCUUCACAUUAAUCUCACCUUCAUGGAGGUGCUGAGAGGUGGGUUUAGCUGAUCCAGCCCCACUGUGAGAGGUGCCAGGUACCCCUGAAUAUUGGGAAGCACAAGAAGAUGGAGGAAGGAUCCAGCUGCGUUGCCUCCUGCCUUGCAGAAAUCCAGCUCCAGGGAAGACAGAAUGCAUGGAAGGAAGGCUGGAGGCACCCCCACAGGCAGAGCUGAUCUGACAGCAAAGCAACAAAUCCUGGUGGGCACAGAGAAGAUUCACACACCUCCAGCACGAUGUGAUAGCCAGAAAUCCCAGGAAAGCUCAUUUUCUGCUACAAAGGGGGAAGAAAGAAGAGAUUAGAAAAGAAAAAUGAUUAAGAGUUGCCUUCAAAACUCCAGUAGCAGAUUGAAAUGGAAUCUCCGACUACUUCUUCACCUCCACAGCUCAGCUCAAAUUCCUCUUAACUGUUUCCUUUACAUCAAAGACUUGAAACUUGAAAAAAAAAUUAAUCAAAGCAGCAAACAAAUCAUGAAGGAAAGAGGGUUUCUUAAAGCAGUGAGUGAGCCAGGCCUCCAUUUGCCUAAGGAGAGCCCACAGACAGAGCCUGGCAGUGGCUUACUAAAAGAUGGGGUCACAUGAGAAGGCUCUUGGCUAAAUCCUCUGCCCCAAAACCCACAUUUAGGCUCAGGUAAGCCUGGUUUAAAGCCUCACUUCCAAACUGAGCUGCUUGCACUGCAAAACAGCUGGGGGCACAGGAGAAAAACUGGAGUCAUUGCCAGGGGCUGGGAAAGGGGUCAGGCACCUUGCCAGGGGUUCCCAGGGGCUCAGCCACAGUUACCCAGCCCCAAUUAGCCUGAUGGGAAAUGAGAGUUUUCAUGAAUAGACUCCAGGGUGGGAGGAUGUCACUGUGUCACAGGUUUGAAUCAUCUGCUCAAAACGAGAUCACAGCAUCAGUCAAGAAUAAACAUUUCCAUCCUCAUCUCA